UACGGGGGGGGGCAAGCGUUGUUCGGAAUUGUGGGCGUAAAGGGCUCGUAGGUGGCCAACUAAGUCAGACGUGAAAUCCCUCAGCUUAACUGGGGAACUGCGUCUGAUACUGGAUGGCUUGAGUUUGGGAGAGGGAUGCGGAAUCCAGGUGUAGCGGUGAAAUGCGUAGAUAUCUGGAGGAACACCGGUGGCGAAGGCGGCAUCCUGGACCAACACUGACACUGAGGAGCGAAAGCCAGGGGAGCAAACGGG
rnacentral:rRNA from 1 species